AGAAAUUCAAUAAUGUUUUAUGAAAAAAUUGUCAGGAAAAUAACAUAAGAUACGGUGAGUUUCAAAUUGUUCCCUACUUAUUUUUGUUUCAAACCAUUUUUAUAAUAGUGUUAAUAUAACCUUUUCCCCAUUUUUUUCAUUUCUAUGUAUGUACAGGGGGGGGGCUAUAAUUUCCGCUACAAAUUUUAUAAUUGGAAUGCUACAUUGGAUUUUAAAUAUUGUUGUUAUUGUCAGUAGUUCAUACGGUAUUUACGAUUUACUGCAUUUUGUCUAUAAUGAUUACAAAUGUCGGGCGUUUUUCAAGCUUUAUUUCUAAAGUCCAACAGAUACACAAACAAUCAGUAACGGACAGCAGAACAGUUGUCUCAAAUAGUUAUCCGUCACCAUUAAUCUGAAAAGAAUUUAACGUGAUUCGUCAAAGCUAGAAGAUUUGUUUAUCGUAACAAAGAAAAUGUACAUUUUCAAUGGUACUUUCAAACGCAGCGUAAUUUUAACACCUUUCAGAGUUUUCGCAGAUGAACCGUAUGCACAAUAUUCGAUUCAACUCCACGGUAAGAGGUCGUAAAGUGGGUACCUUCAUGACGAAUAACGGUAAAACAUAUUUCCCAAUGACUUUUUGUUUGUUGCAUGACGACAAACCAUGUAAAGUCUAUAAAUUCUAUGAAAUACAUUUUUCUCCUGAGCUUUCUACAGUCAUGCUUUUCUGUGACAGUUGAUGACGUCUUUACACUAAAACAAUUAAAUUAUUACUGAUUUAUAUUUUAGUGCGGGUUUCCCGACUGACUUGUUUAUUAGUUGGAAUUGCUUUUAAACAGCUUUCAGUAACUUUCUAGUACCCCAUGAUCGGCAUGUUGUGGUUAUUGUCCUAUUGUGUGCUUUAGAGUCAGUCUCUCUAAUGAGUCAAGACUUUCUAAAUGCUGUGUAUGGUUUGUUCUUAUGUUGUGCUGUUAAGCCACUGUCCCUAGAUAGGGAAAGGGUUGAUGCAAAUAUGUUUAACCUCGACACAUUCUUAAUGUAAUUCAGUAGCUAUAUUUUAUUACUGUAUGUCCAUUUCAUUUCGUUUAUUUUUUGUACCAUUAAAUAGGUCAGGCCGUUAGUUUUCCUUUUUCGAUUGUUUCACACUUUGUCAUACCGGGGCAUUUGAUAGCUUACUAAAUUGUAUUAGUUUUGUCCAUUGUUGAAGAUACUAAAAGCGUCCAAUAAGCACUAACAUUCUCGUCUUAGGUCUUUAGUAGAUGGCUGUCUUAUUGGUAAUCAUACCACAACCUCGUUAUUUUUACAUGGUGCUUGAUAUACGUAGUUUUAGUUAUAAUGCUGAUUAGUACUAAUACCAAAACCCCAGUCACACUGUCACGUUUCAACAGCUUCGUUUUUCUACGUUUUGAAAAGGUAGCGAAACGGGAAUAUACGUAUCGAAACGUAGUGAUCCUUUGUUCAAAACGGGACCUGCCCCGUAUGUUUUGAAAAUUCAACAACACUAGAACACACCCGCGAAAUCGCGGGGAAAUAAAGCGUAUGUAAACUGUAAAAAAAAAUUAUAACCGAAGAAUUUCAGGUGAGGUAUCAAAAGCCAAAUGUACUUGGGGACUGGGCACAUUUUGUUUGCCAUCUCCUCUUUUCCAAAUUCCGAUUUUUAUUCUUUCUGUUUCUGUAUACUAUGAACUUACAUUUAUACUAUAAUUACUAUAUUAAAACGGUCACUGAUAUAUUGUAAGAAGUGACCGCCGUGAAUAGUAACCCCCCCUCUCUCCCCAAGGAUUUAUGUAAUAGCAAAUACAAUUUGUUCAUAGUGUAUGUAUGCAGUAUACAGAAAUAUAUCAGUGACCGCCAAAUUAUGUUUAUAUUUUAAAACAGGCCUACAGUUUUCAGCAAGGAUGAUAAAUGCUAGAACACACCCGCGGGCAUUCAGAGCCGUGGUUGAAAGUAUGUAAAGUGUUGUAGGAUGAAUUUUUGUAAAAUAUUUAAUGACUGGAGAAUUCCAGGAAAGGUAUCCAAAUUUUUAGGUACUUGGGGACAGGACAAUAGUUUUCAACACCUCCUCCUUUUUUCCCAAAAUUCCCUAUUUUUUGUUUACUAUUUAUUUCAAUAUACGUUUAGUGUAUUAUGAACAUUCAUUACUAUAAAUAAAGUGUGUUUGCUAUUUGAUAUACUUAGUGACCCGAUGAAUUUUUGUAAAAGAUUUUAUGACUGGAGAAUUCUAGAAAAAGUAUCAAAAGUCAUAGGUACUUUUGGACAAUUGUUUUUUUUAGCCCGGUUCCUCAUUGUUUUCCUCUAAAACUCCAACUUUUGGGUUUUCUAUCAAUUUCAAUAAUGUUAGCAUUUAUCUGUUAGUAUAUUAUGAACAUUUCAUUACUAUAAAUAAAGUGAAUUUGCUUUUUACUAUCAAUUCCAAGUUUACUAAUCGAUCCACGGCGGCCAUUGACAUAUUAUAUAGACCCUCUCUAUUUAAUAUAGUAUGUGACCGCCGUGGAUUGUAAACUUGAAAAUGUACACUUAAUCAUUAUCGAACCCUAGGAGUCGAUAUUAAGAAUUGAACGAUGGACAGUGAGUGCGUGAAUUUUUCUGGCUACCUGAUUGGAAGAUAUUACGAGACGUGAAUAAUCAAAGUUUAUUGAUUGGUUAGGUCAAUCCAAACCUAGUAAAUGUCCUUCAAUCCCGUAGAGUAUCGGAUUUGUCCUCUCUUUUUUAACAAUAGAUUUUGCCUGGUCAUUAAUCAUCAUAUUCAUGAUUGGUACACAGGUAACUUUUUCUAUAAAAUAGUCGAAUUUCUGGUUUCGUAAACACAAACGUUAACGUAUACUACUUCAUAACGUGUGAGCUCACGUGUGUGGUAAAAUUUGUUGAUUGAUGCACGUGGCUAUUCUAGUAAAUGAAUAAAUCUACAAAGCGAGAGCACUUUCCAUUUUCAUUAGCUAAGAGUCGACUAGCCCUUUUUGAAAGGCUAAUGCUUGUUAUCGACUCCUAGGAGUCGAUAUUAAGAAUUGAACGAUGGACAGUCAGUGCGUGAAUUUUUCUUGCUACCUGAAUUGGAAGAUAUACGAGAUGUGAAUAAUCAAAGUUUAUUUGAUGGUUAGGGAACAAUCCAAACCUAGUAAAUGUCCUUCAAUCCCGCAGAGUAUCGGAUUUGUCCUCUCUAUUUUAGCAAUUAGAUUUUGUGUGGUCAUUAAUCAUGCAUAUUCAUGAUAUUGGUACACAGGAACUUUAUCUAUAAUAGUCGAAUCUUCUGGAGUUUCGUAAACAACAACGUUAAACGAUAUAUACUAUUCAUAACGUUGACUCACGUGGUGGUAAAAUUUGUUGAUUGAUGCACGUGGCUAUUUUAGUAAAUGAAUAAAUCUACAAAGCGAGAGCACUUUCCAUUUUCAUCAGCUAAGAGUCGACUUAGCCCUUUUUGAAAGGCUAACGCUUGUAGUCUUUGUAUGUUCAAUAUACAAAACACCGCAAACCGGAAGUCUAGUCUGACUUAAAAUUUCGUCCAAUGACGGAAAAAUAUCCGGACGCAUAUUUUUUCGUUUCUCUCCCAUAACCCAAACUGAAUAAUCAUAAUAAUGGAUGACAAAUGCGACUAUACAUGGUACCUAUAGGACACAGAGGCAUGAUGAUUAAUUUAUUGUGGAAGGAAGAGAAGCGACACACAAAAUGAGGUCUUCUCGUUUAAUAGUAUAGAAACGUAGCAAAAAUUGAAACGAAGUAAAAACCUAGUAAAUACGUAUAGCUUACCACGUAUCGAAACGUAUCAAUGAGUGGUGGAAACGUCGGUUUACACGUACUUAUACGUAGUAAAACGUGGAAAGAACGUAGCACAAACCUAGUUGAACCUAGCUUUCAAAAUAACAGGACAUUUUUAUUCAAAACGUAGUUGAAACGUAGCAUUUUAAAACGGAAUGCAACGUGACAGUAUGACUGGAGCGUAAUUUUAAUUGAGUUAGUAAAAUGUAUACGUAAUUUGUAAAGUACAUUUCAAUCAUACUAGAAAGUUUACACAUCUAUCAAUUUAUUAUAUUGUAGCAUGCUGUCGUUAAGAAUACGAUGGGUUGUUCUUCGUCACAGUUCAAUAACAGAAAAAUAUAUAAAAAACAGAGAGAAGACGACUUUUCUACCUCUGGGGAGGAUAUAAGAGGAGUUCCCGAUGGUCAGGAAACGUUUCGUAUGUAUUCAAUCUAGGAAAUGAAUAAUUCCU
rnacentral:lncRNA from 1 species